UGAGGAAUAUUGGACAAUGGAGGCAACUCUGAUCCAGCCAUGCCGCGUGAAGGAAUAAGGCCCUAUGGGUCGUAAACUUCUUUUGACGCAGAGCAAUAAGGACUACGCGUAGUCUGAUGAGAGUAUGCGUCGAAUAAGUAUCGGCUAACUCCGUGCCAGCAGCCGCGGUAAUACGGAGGAUGCAAGCGUUAUCCGGAUUUAUUGGGUUUAAAGGGUGCGUAGGCUGAAGAUCAAGUCAGCGGUGAAAUGUCCCGGCUCAACCGGGGCCUUGCCGUUGAAACUGGUCAUCUGGAAUGCGGAUGCCGUGGGAGGAAUGUGUGGUGUAGCGGUGAAAUGCAUAGAUAUCACACAGAACACCGAUUGCGAAGGCAUCUCACGAAUCCGCUAUUGACGCUGAGGCUCGAAAGCAUGGGUAGCGAACAGG
rnacentral:rRNA from 1 species